GAAUGCUGACAUAAGUAACGAUAAAGCGGGUGAAAAGCCCGCUCGCCGGAAGACCAAGGGUUCCUGUCCAACGUUAAUCGGGGCAGGGUGAGUCGACCCCUAAGGCGAGGCCGAAAGGCGUAGUCGAUGGGAAACGGGUUAAUAUUCCCGUACUUGGUGUUACUGCGAAGGGGGGACGGAGAAGGCUAUGUUGGCCGGGCGACGGUUGUCCCGGUUUAAGCGUGUAGGUGUGUGUUCCAGGUAAAUCCGGUUCACUUUAACACUGAGGCGUGACGACGAGGCACUACGGUGCUGAAGCAACAAAUGCCCUGCUUCCAGGAAAAGCCUCUAAGCAUCAGGUAACAUCAAAUCGUACCCCAAACCGACACAGGUGGUCAGGUAGAGAAUACCAAGGCGCUUGAGAGAACUCGGGUGAAGGAACUAGGCAAAAUGGUGCCGUAACUUCGGGAGAAGGCACGCUGACACGUAGGUGAAGU
rnacentral:rRNA from 1 species